rnacentral:miRNA from 1 species
AUGUGUGCGUGCAUGUGCACGUGUGUGUACGCGCACACACACACACACACACACACACACACACACACACACACACCUA